UAUUCAAGACAUUGGCUGGUACCAUCCUUGUUGAAAUCCACUGUGGAUUGAAGAACAGCUGUCUCUGGAGAUAUCCAUCAACAGUUUCAUUCUCAUCAACUAUAUCACUUCAAGAUAUUCCUUGAACUGUUAAGUGUAAUUGACAGGGACUGGCAGUUAUGAUGGCAGACUGUGGUAGUUCCCAUUCUACGCAACCCAGAGAGCCCUUGGUAGAGAAACCAGCAGAAGAGGGUCCUGGCCAAGGGAGAACAGACUCACCCUGAAUAUGAUCAGACUCAUCCCAAUCGGACUCAUCCGUAGCUGAGCUCCAGCGACCCCGAACAGCAGAAGAAAAACAUUCCAAGUGGAAGCUUGGUUUCAUACACGUCAUUUUGGAGCACAGAGAAAGACAUCUGUCUUAGAGUUGAUUCAAAUUAGAUGCUUAGUCACUGGGAAAAAAAAAAAACCCACAAACCAACCGAGAAACAAACAGCCAAGCACAUGGGAAAAGGAGAUGGUUACAGUCAUGGCCCCUGAACUCAGGAACUCUUUGCCUGGAGAUGGUGGUUGUGUACAUGAUGCUGCUGCAGAACUGCUCUGGGGGAGCCUGACCCUGCUCCUGCUCUGGCAUUUAUUCAAUAUCCUGCACUAACUUCGGUUUCUGUCCAACCUCACCUCAGGCCAUGUGGAGGAAGGUGACUCUUCAUCUCUGCUCAGCGCUGGCGAGGCCAACGGCUGGAGUGCUGUCUGCAGUCCUGGGUGCCCCAACAGAAGACAGACAUGGACCUUCUGGACAGAGUCCAGCAGAUAAUAAAGGUACUGGAGCAUCUGUAGUACAAGGAGAGGCUGAGAGAGCUGGGACUGGUUAUCCUGGAGAAGAGAAGGGUUAGGGGGGAUCUUAUUAAUGUAAAUAAAUACCCAAUAGGAGGGUGCAAAGAUGAUGGAGCCAGACUCUUCUUAGUGGUGCUUGGUGCUUGGAUAAGGGGCAAUGCGCACAAACUGAAAAACAGAAAAACACUUUUUUUACCUUGAGGGAGUCAAGCACUGGAACAGUGUUUCUCAGAACAAGACAGACAUGGAGCAGGUCCA